CCUACGGGAGGCAGCAGUGGGGAAUAUUGCACAAUGGGGGAAACCCUGAUGCAGCGACGCCGCGUGAGUGAAGAAGUAUUUCGGUAUGUAAAGCUCUAUCAGCAGGGAAGAUAAUGACGGUACCUGACUAAGAAGCCCCGGCUAACUACGUGCCAGCAGCCGCGGUAAUACGUAGGGGGCAAGCGUUAUCCGGAUUUACUGGGUGGAAAGGGUGCGUAGGUGGCAGGGCAAGUCAGAUGUGAAAGCCCGGGGCUCAACCCCGGUACUGUAUUUGAAACUGUCCAGCUGGAGUGCAGGAGAGGUAAGCGGAAUUCCUAGUGUAGCGGUGAAAUGCGUAGAUAUUAGGAAGAACACCAGUGGCGAAGGCGGCUUUCUGGACUGAAACUGACGCUGAGGCUCGAAAGCGUGGGGAGCGAACAGGAUUAGAUACCCUAGUAGUC
rnacentral:rRNA from 1 species